CAAAGAGAAAUUUACUUCUGUGUUGAUAUGGACAAAAGUGAUGCUUCUGGAAAUUCCCAGCCCGAGUUUGCAACUCUAGUUUCUGGUAUGAGAAGAGUGUGUCCCCAGUGAGGCAUCCACAACCCAGAUUUAAUUCACUUGGAAGAACCGUGCGUGUCAGGAAGCCCUGACUUUCACAUUUUGGAUUGUAUAAUGGAUGAAUAAUAGGAUCAAUCACAGAAUGGCUUGAACUGGAAGGGACCUUUGAAGAGCCUCUCAUCUAACCCCCCCACCACAGACAGGAACAUCCAACAGGAUGGAAGUUAUGUCUUCUGCAUUCUGAACUGAACGUGCAUAACUGCUAAAGUCCUGGAAAGGGAGCUUGAACACAUCUAGAUGAGGCACAGAACACAGCUGAACAUUGUGGGGAUGCUCUCCAGACAGAUUAUCAGAGAAGUUGACUUCUAGACAACUGUGAGAAUUACGAAUUUGCUCGUUCUCCACUGCU